AUGAAUGAUUCAGAGAUAGAAGAAGAGAGAAGACUUUGUUAUGUUGGUAUAACAAGAGCUAAGGAAAUUUUAUAUCUUACAUUAACUCAA
rnacentral:sRNA from 1 species